UACGUAAGUGGCAAGCGUUAUCCGGAAUUACUGGGUGUAAAGGGUGUGUAGGCGGCUUUUUAAGUCCUGUGUUAAAUCCCACGGCUUAACUGUGGGCUUGCGCGGGAAACUGGAAGGCUUGAGUAGAGGAGAGGUAACUGGAAUUCCUAGUGUAGCGGUGAAAUGUGUAGAUAUUAGGAAGAACACCAGUGGCGAAGGCGGGUUACUGGCCUCUUACUGACGCUGAGACACGAAAGCCGGGGGAGCAAAC
rnacentral:rRNA from 1 species